GGCGGGACAGCAGCUGCUUCACAGUUGUAUUAAAUGCCUGUUCAUCAGCAUCCCACUAGGAAAAAAUAGAUAAGACUUAAUGACAGGGGAAAAUUCAAAUAACAGCACACUUCUCGUCAGAAACCAGCAAUUCUUCUCCUCCUGGGUGUCUCAGAGUUUGGCAGUUGAAGUAAAAAGCGUAACACUGUCUGAUGUGGAUCUCAGUGUAUGGAGAGGAAGUAUUUAAGACAAUUAUAAGUGGGGGGGAGGGGUAUAGGGACUUAAAGGGAGAUAAUGGUUCUAUACUUCAUUUGAACUAGUAAAUGUCAGCACCAAAGGAUCUAUAUGUGACAGAACAGCUCUGUAUCUCAAUUGUGGCGGUGGUUACGGGACUCUACACAUGUGGUAAAAUGGCACAGAAUUACAC